CUCGGUCUCGGCGGUGUCGGGGCCCUCUUUUCGGAUUCCGGAGGCGGUGGGGUCCCUCCGUUGCCCCUCAGGACUUCGACGACUCGGUUUCGUUCACGGGGCAGAAAGGGGAGUGUCCCGCUCCAGUCGUCCCUCUAUUUCAGGACGUCCCCGCCCCCUCCUGGCUUAGGGGAGCUACCUAGUAUUUCCCCUCGACUCACCGGCUCAGGGAUUCCCCACUUAGGUGGAAAAUCCUUUAUAGAUGUAAUGUUCUCCACAUAGUGGACAAUGAGGAAAUGCUGACUGGUUGGUAUGCCAUCUCCUUCUUCAUCCAAAAUCAUUCCUAAAUAUGCUGAACAGCAGGAAAGAAAGCCCAGAUCCCCAUGGCACUCCACUACAGAUGCCGUCACAUUGCCUUUGGCCUUUGCAUCCUGGUAUUUCACCUCUUCGGAAUCCACACAGCUGUACUGUCAUCUAGUCUCUCUUAUCCACAAGAGACCUUGCCUGGUAACUUAUAAAGCAAGAUAUGACUGACAAAUAAGUGAGGUAGGCAAGGAACGUCUGCUUAUGUUCCAAAGGCUGAACCUUUAUUAACCAAUCCUCCUCGCCCCCAUUACAUUUGUAGCUAACUUAUAUGAAUUUUGUAUAAACCUGUAUAUGUAUCUGCUAUCUCCCACAUUAGAGCGUCAAGCUCCCAGAGCACCAGGACCAUUUGCUUUUGCUUUUGUAUCCCCACCACCUGGCAUAGUGCUUAGCACAGUAGCUGUCACUUAACUAAUGCUUGAUUGAUGAAUUGAUUAAACUCUAGUGCCACCAUUGCCACUAAAAACUUUCUAUAUCUUAAUUUUCUCAUUUGUUAAGUUACAACAUUUAUACUUUAAGGAUAAAGUGCUAAUGUGAAAAUGCUUUCAAAAGUUUAAAUCUAAAUUAUUAAUCUCUAUAUGGUAGUCAUUCAAAAGAGUUAUUAUACUUAGUUAUCUCCUUUGGAGGAAAGCCUUCAUUUCUCAGUUUUAUUAGGUUAUUUUAAAUUAUUUAAAUCGUAAUGGGAUAGAAAAAAUUCAAUCUGAGUUUUAAUACAUAUAGUAGAUUACAAUGGAUACUCAUAGGAGGAAAGAUGAAAAAAACAAACAACUACAUUUAUACCCUUCAAAAGUUGUGGAACAUAGCACCAGCAAGGCAUUUUUUCUUGAUUUACAUCUUCUUGCAAUAUGCUGAUUACCCCCACACACUUUAAAUAUAAAAUUUGAUGACCCUUGUAAUUUUACUUUUAAUAUGCACAGGUAGUUGAAUACUAAAUACAAAUAGUAUCGUUCUGCUAGCAACUACUCGGUGGAAUAAACCUUCUAAGGGCCCCAUGAGCCUUUGCCAUUUAUUUGCCAUUUAUUUACUCAUUCUUUGUGCCUUUGCAUAGGCUAGUUUAAUAAUGAAUUUACAGAUCAUUCCAGGCAUAUUGUAUGGCUGUGAAUUGUGGACAUAAAUCUUUGAAAUAUUAAAGUUGUGGAUUAUAAUUUUUCUAAUUCAUAAAAAUGCUGAAUGGCACAGCAUUGAAGCUGUGGGAGAGAAAUAUAGUAUGAAUGAGCAGGCUGCAGUACAUUACAAAUGAAGAAUUAUUCAAGAGAAGUCACGUAAAUGGUAUCAUUGAAGAAAUGCAUGACUGGGAAAAAUGAUGGACUUGGUCACGUAGUGGGAAUGAGGGGCUGACCUUGUGCGCCAUUGGUUUCACACAAUGUGAAGAGAAUUGAAGAAAGGCACCCAGCUCAUUCAGAAGAACCUCAGUGGAAAAUUUCUGGUAGGACAUGGACAAGAGGCACUUAGAUUGGGAUGGAAGAAGGAGGCUCAGAAUAAAGACUUGGGAGACACCCACGAUUGAGGGCACUACUUGGAAGAAGAUUCAACAAAAGAUUGAGAAGCAACAGUCAGACGGUAAGGGGAAUCAGGAGAACCAGGAGAGAGAAAUGUCAUGAAAACCUGGAGAGGAGAUGGUGUUUGGGAGAAGUGGGCUAACAAUGUGAAAGAAUAAAAAAGAGAUUGAGAAGGAUGAGGAUUGAGAAAAAAUUGGAUUUGGCAAUUAAGUGAUCCUUGGUGAGCAGUUUCAAUUAAAUGAUAAUAUCAAAGGAUUUAAAAGUGAUUGGAGGCAACCUGUAUUAAUGGCUUUCUAAAGGUUUUUAGCUUAGAAGAGAAGAGAUAAAGGUAGGAAAGAGGGUAGAAUCAAGUGAAUUUUUUUUUUUUAAGGAUGGGGCACAUGAGAUGUUAAUUUUUUUCAGUGAAGUAUAAGUGAAGACCUCAGCUGAGAGAGGAAGGAGAAGGGGCUCUGAAGAGGUAUGGAAAGGAAAAGCUGCUGUACUGAGUGGGAGAAUGAAUUCAUUAUGGAGGCAUGAAAGGAUUGCCUUGCUGCAGUGAGGGCCCAAUUCAGAUUAUGUAAAUAUACAUUUGUAGUAGAACUAGUUGCCAUAGAGUCCUAAUUUCCUCCAGCACCAUUAAGUAUCACAUGAAUAAGAGCAUAGGCAUAGUAUUGUGGGAGAAAUAUAAGGUUAAAACCAAAUUACUUGUAUCAAGAAUGAAAAGGGAGA